UACGGAGGAUGCGAGUGUUAUCCGGAUUUAUUGGGUUUAAAGGGUGCGUAGGCGGACUGUCAAGUCAGCGGUAAAAUUGAGAGGCUCAACCUCUUCCCGCCGUUGAAACUGGUGGUCUUGAGUGGAUGAGAAGUACGCGGAAUGCGUGGUGUAGCGGUGAAAUGCAUAGAUAUCACGCAGAACUCCGAUUGCGAAGGCAGCGUACCGGCAUCCAACUGACGCUGAGGCACGAAAGCAUGGGGAUCAAACAGG
rnacentral:rRNA from 1 species